UACAGAGGUCUCAAGCGUUGUUCGGAUUCAUUGGGCGUAAAGGGUGCGUAGGCGGCGCGGUAAGUCGGGUGUGAAAUCUUGGAGCUUAACUCCGAAACUGCAUUCGAUACUGCCGUGCUUGAGGACUGGAGAGGAGACUGGAAUUUACGGUGUAGCGGUGAAAUGCGUAGAUAUCGUAAGGAAGACCAGUGGCGAAGGCGGGUCUCUGGACAGUUCCCGACGCUGAGGCACGAAGGCCAGGGGAGCAAACGGG
rnacentral:rRNA from 1 species